rnacentral:misc_RNA from 1 species
GCUCCGUAGGUGAACCUGCGGAGGGAUCAUUACAGAGUUCAUGCCCUACCGGGUAGAUCUCCCACCCUAUGUUAUUAUUACUUUGUUGCUUUGGCGGGCCGUUAGGCUUCGACCCGACUACCGGCCCCGGCUGGUAAGCGCCCGCCAGAGGACCCAAAACCCUGAAUAUUAGUGUCGUCUGAGUACUAUAUAAUAGUUAAAACUUUCAACGACGGAUCUCUUGGUUCUG